rnacentral:tRNA from 1 species
AGGGGUAUGGCGCAACUGGUAGCGCAAUGGUCUCCAAAACCAUCGGUUGUAGGUUCGAGUCCUACUACCCCUG